rnacentral:lncRNA from 1 species
GAAUUCUAUUACUGUAACACACCCUAACCCCAAACCGUCGCCGGAACAGGGUUACGAGGCAUUACCGGAUAUACCAAGAAAUUUAAAAAUAGUUCUUAAAUAAAUAACCAACCUAUUAAGAUAAUUAAUAAAUUGUUAUAAAUUUUACUAAUUGAUUUCAUUCAUUUUUAGAAAAAUUUCAGCAGCAUUUCUGCUUAUUUUUACAUCAAACCCCCUGCAAUUUAAAACCAUAUCAUUUUC